rnacentral:misc_RNA from 1 species
ACCAUGUUUACUUGCACGUGGAUACACGCAGUUAGAGUGACCACGACAUUGCUAUUAGAGAAUCUGACUUUUUUUGAUCUAGAAAAUGUGAGAGUGUGUGUAUGUACAGGAAUUUGUGCUCGGAAGAUAACAAUAAUCAAAUAUGACUGUUGGUCUGAUUGUGACAGUGUGACAUGUACUAAUGAAAAGUUGUGAGAGACAGCAACAGUUGUAUAAAAGGUAGACGUAAAAACACUUCAUAAAGAAUUUUACUAGACGGAACAGUUUGAAAGUAAGCGUGAAGACACUUAAUGAAUAAUUUUAAUGGACGGAAUUUUUUUUAUUAGAUAUUUUAUCGUGCAAAAUUCAGAAUAAAAUGUUUAAAUCAU